UCGCGCCCCUCUCCGCCAUCUCCGAUCACGUUCGUUGGGGUUUUCUCUUAUCCCCGGGAACUUCGGUGCUGCGUCUAUAACAAUUCAGAAGCUUCAGGGGUUCUAUAUAAAGAUGCUUUUUUUAUUCUGCUACGGCUUCGACGUUGAUGGUGGUCCGUGGGCUGUGGUUGCUCGUGCCCUGAUUGACACACUUGCCGAACAUAGUACAUUCUUGAUUUUUCUUUUAAUUUUUCCCUUUUGAAAGCAAAGUCAUGAGCUCUGCCCUUCAUUUAAGAAGGGGACAACAAAAAUAGAAGUAUAACAUUCUUGAUUUUCUUUUGUGAACUAAUUUGGUUGUGACUUGGAUGUGGUAGCAUAUUGAAGGCAUGCGUACUCUAGUUACAUGUAUUGUAUUGUUGCACACAUUUCAUGUGUUUGGUUGUGAAGCACGAUGGUUGAAGUACUCCGUGCUCGUUUCGUGUCUGCUUCUGAUUUUGUUGUUCAUGGUUUUGUGUGUAGUCUCUCAAGUCUCAACUUCCUGGACCACUUGUGACUAUGCCUAUUUGUUGGAGCUGUUGUAGUAGUUGCUGCAUCCAAAUGAUAAUAUUCUUCUGCAUAAAUGGAUUGCAUGUUCGGUUAAAAUUUAUGGAAUGCUUGUUUGAUUCAGGGUUCUCUGUGCAGCUGCCUUUGAAAUCACAUUUAGUACCAAAAUUGUCUAACAGUAUAUUAUGGUCAGCAUGUUAAUCCUGAUUUUAUCUGAUUUAUCUGAUAAGGGAAUAAACAAAAAUUGUUCUUGAUGACCAGACUCUACAUCCAGGAUGCGCCAUGCAUCAUGCUCUCAUGAGCUAGAGCACCAUGAUUUACCUGAAAAAGAUUAAGCUUCUUCUGUUGCCGUGGAAUGUAUAGUUAAUUACAAUAAACUGUCAUGACAAAUGCUUGACCAGAGUUCAAAACCCCAGCAGUAUGCUUUAUUUGUUGCAGUUUCACUCUAGUGGAAUUCCCUAAAUGGUAACCUUUCACUUUCUUAAAAAAAUGAAGACUUUGCCUUAUGGCUUGUAUGUGAUUGAUUGCAAACAACUUAUUUUUCUAUAGCUAUCCAUGAAUUAAACGGCUGCAAGCCUGUGCAGCUAGUACAAAAUGAAUGCUAUAACUUUGCCUUAUGGCUUGGUUCUAAAUUGUAUAAUCACUCUAGGUGGGUGGCUAAAUGAUCACGGGUUAAUAUUUCUUGGCUAAAUAGUUAUUAGUUGAGUAGUAGGCUGAUUUUAUAAAAAGACGGUGUUAACUUUAUAUUAAGAAGAAAGAAGGGUAUAGUACCCAGUCACCAGUACAAAAGUUUGUAUCAAUAGAUAUUGAAACGGGCUUUAAGAUGAUAUUGAUGUUGUAGCAAUUGACAGUAUACUCAAGAUCAAUUAAGAGUAAAAAUCUAUUGCAGAAGAUUUCUCCUCUACCAGAAUACGCUCCUUACAUCCAUGGACAGAGGGAGUAUUGUGUUAGAUCCAAAAUUUGUGCAAUUUAAGGUAGAAUGUUUUGCACAGCUUAAAUGGUAAGAUCAUUGCUUUCACACUAGAAUUUUUCUUUUGUACUGAAAUGUUUCCUAAAUGUCCUCAUGUGGAUCUAAUGAUCUUACUUUAAUACACUGUUAGAUAGCAAUUUGAACUGUUAUAGUCCUUAAACCAUUUAAUAGUCAAUGUGUGAGAGGGGGGCUGAGAGGAUAGCCUUGCAGCAUUUGCUGUUUGGAGUUGAAGACUUAGACUGGGAAGAAUAACCUUAGGUUGAUCAGAUCGAGUGAUUCUUGUUGUUUGCAUGCUAAUGAAGAAAAAUGUUCUUAUGUAGUGUUGGCUAUGCAUCCAAACAACAGUUUGGUACAUGAUAAGAUACUGAUCAAUCUAACUAACUAAUGAUGCAUUCUUAUAGUGUUAUGGUAAGCACCUCAGUGGAGGGAGACACCAACCAGGCUUCAAAUCUUGGUGGCACAAAAAUAAUUCUCUCGCUAGUAGCCACCCAAAAAAGAGUGGCAGGGUUCCAGCCUGUGGCACCUGUGGUUGGUCUGGGCCCUCCUACCAAGGGUAGUUGAAGUAGUCGCCAACCUAGUGGGUCAUGAUUGGCCUAUGUUAAGGUGCGGCCCUAUAGGAUGAAGCCAAGGUUCAAGGGUUUUCUCGACCGUUUUGGUUGAGGUUUCUUCUAAGUGGUAAUACCAUGGGGGUGAGGUUUCUUCUAAGUGGUCUUUCCACACCAGUCUGAGUUUUUUUUAUACUGCAUGCUGCCAUGCCUAAGCCAUCUAUCUAACUAAUGGGUGCAGCAUGCUGCAGUGGUGGCCUAGGAUGGUUCUGUAGCUAUUGCUUCUUGCCACACAACACUAGUCUAAUUGUAAAGGAAGUGAAGUUUCAACCACAAAUGUGGCUACUAGUAGAUAUAAUGUCGGUUAACUUCGUAGAAGUUGCCCGGUGUAUCUCCCAACUUUCAGCUGGACAUAAACUUCAGACAUGGUUUCCUAUUGCCUAAACCUCUAAUUUUUGGGCCACUUAAGCCUAAAGCUUGUUUCGAAGGUCAUUCUAGUCUUCUAGAUGUGUGCUCACUUGACAGAGGUCCUGUGUCUCACCUCAACUGCUGUGAAGAAAGGAGGACUUUAUUCUCUUGAUAUCAGCUCUGUGUACCAGUACAAAAACACCCUCAUCGGUUUCAAAGUGGACGCAGAAUCAAAUGUUAGUUCUUUACAGUUCUCAGCUCACCCUUUCUCCUAUACUGGCAUGUUGCUAAUCACAAUACUGGCAUGUGAAAUGCCCUACCUUUGAGUGCGGUCGCCUUUGAGUGCGGUCGUUUGGAAACGAGCUUAGAAGGAAGAAUUACUUCUUUUAAUGUACUUGAAGUCCUGCCAUCCACAAAGCUUGCGAUUUCUGUUAAGCUGCUUGAUUGCAAUGCUAGAAAGAUCUCUACUGCCUUUAUAAUAUCGGAAGUCCUGCCAUACAGGAAGCUUGUGGUUUCUGUUAAGUUACCUGAAGACCCAUUAAAGUUGAAGCUGCAAUACUUCCAUGAAAAUGCAACUUUUGCUACUGUGGUUCGCAUGAAGCCCUCCCCUAUGAUUGAGUUUUCUGCUACAGUAGGCACGGAAGGUGUUGCCUUUGGUGCCGAAUGUAUAUAUGAUGCAGCAAGAGGGAAAUUUAGAAAUUACAGAGCUGCUAUUGGCAUGACUAGUAAAUACUAUCAUGCUGCACUCAUUAUGGCUGACAAAGGUGACACCAUCAAAGUGUGUGGCCUGUACAAUUUUGAUAACAAGCAGGUCUCAGCUGUAGUAGAAUUAACGCGGAAACUAUCAAAGGAAAAGAAUACGCUCACUGUUGGCGGUCUCUACACUGUUGAUGCUCAGGCAACAGUAAAGGCAAGGCUCAAUGACACUGGAAGUCUUGCAGCUCUUCUUCGGCUUCAGGUGAAACCAAAGUCGCAUCUGAUGAUCUCAGGUGAAUUCGACAUGAAGGCCUUGGAUAGACCUCCCAAGAUUGGUUUAGCUCUCGCUCUCGUACCCUGAUGAGAUGCUCCAUAGUAGAAAUUAACAGAAUAUUGAGGUUUUUUUGGCGGUUUAGCCAAGUUGAAGGAAAUAACUUGGUUUGAAGACAGGGAAUGUUCGGUUUAUAUCCUGAAAGUGUGGGAAAAAAUGAAGUAGCCCACAGCAUUUGGGUACACUUUGGUCUUGAUGGAAUCAGAUACCAAGUCACUCGCUGAUAGAUAUACACUGCUUUCAUUUCUUAAAAGAGGGUGUAUGCUAAUUGUGGAUUUAACCACUGUCUAUUACAUACUGUCAUACUCUAUCCACGUGACGAUUUAGCCAGUCUGGGUCUGGAAUGCAGUUCCUUUUGCUCUA